rnacentral:lncRNA from 7 species
AAAGUGGGCAUGCCUACACCAAUAGCAGGAGGGGUCUGCAGCUGCAAGGGAGGUGACGGAGUAACUGGAGAGGUAAUGCAGAUUUCGGAUGCUGUUUCGGAAGCAAAGCCCUCUGAGAGCCGGUAGGAUUUGGGGGUGGGUUUUUUUUUUCCUAUUAAACACAUGGCUUUUUGUGAACCACUGACGGUGUCCCCGCGGCUCAGCUGCUGGAGCUCAUAUAUGUAUAUUUGUACAUAUGGAUGUGUUUGUCCCAGCGCUGCCCGGAGGGGUGCUGUGCUGUGCUGUGCAGGACGAGGCGCCUUGCACUGAAGCGCAGGAAAACACCGCUCCCUUUUUGCUCACCUUGUGGUUUUAUCACCCUGUGUGCUUUAAUACCGAUAUUUGGCAGCAAAUCACGUCUCAUUCUGUGCCCUCUGCUGUAGCUCCACACUUCCCAGUGCUGGCGCUGAGCACCACGCGGAUCCUUACAACAACCAAAAGCUUGGCACUCAUCUUACACGGUUAUUGCACCCAAUCUGUUUUCUACUUUAAAAAGAAAGUGGUGGAAGUAAAUAGCAGAUCUGAGCACAGCCUUUCUGCUCCCAGCGCGGCCGCAGACCCGGUGCAGCGUUCGACCCCAACUGUUUUUCUGUUUGGGUGGAAUUUCCACCACGGAACGGCUGCUGCUGGCCAUGGGAGGUGGGUAGGAGUAGGGCUGCCAUUGGGAAACCUUUGAGACCUUGGGAAACGGCCGCUGCGUUCGGAGCCUUUCUCCUCCCUGUUCCUUAUUUCCAAGGGGGUUGGGGCGACGUCUCGGCGCUGUGGCCGAAUGUUCUCAGUUGGUCGUUGGGAAGAACUUGAAACCAGUCGGGACAAACCUUGAUCCGCCAGUAUGAAUCACACUGUACUCCUUUUCUUGGUUUAAUUUCCCUUAUCUUCUGUAAUCUUUUGUUUAUAAAUUAAUCUGUUUGUGGGACAGAAGGUUUUACCGAUUGUUUUCCGUUCUGUACAGUACACGGUUAAACAUUUUGUAUAUUUAGUGUGUUUUUAAGUUAUUGGUUUGUUUUAUAUCAAAUAAUUUAUUUUUCAGGUACCAUUUUCAUUUACGCUUUGUUUUUACAUGGGUUUAUUUUAAAUAAAGUAUGACACUGCUUUCCAAAUGUCUGAAACGAAGUGGAAUCCCAUUGUGUUAUUUUGAGAGUACGUAUGUAAAAAACGUAUCUUAGAAAGAGUUGCAAAAAUGUACCGACCCCAUGCUUCUGUCCUUCAGUUCCAGUGUUUAGGAACUCUGCGGUAUUUAUCUCUUUCCUUUGAAAGCGGUUGGAAAAGUUGGCAUUCUCAUAUUGAAGCAGUUGAAAGAUGGGCUGAACGCAGCAGCGCUUUUGUAGAACCCUGUGGAUGGAGCGUUGUUUUCUGAUGGUGUUCUAAAAAUUAAAGGAAACGAAGCCUCGAUCCCUUACCCUUGUUUUCAUAUAAAAUUUAAUCUAAUUUAAU